UGGAAAUUGGCUGAAAAAAAAUGAAAAAUGAAAGGAAACAAUUACAAAAUGGCGCCCAAAACACAAACCAAAUACUUUGAAUUUUUUUUACCCACCCGGUUCGACCCGGCCCAUUUUCAAACCCGACCCAAGUCCCUGUUUUAAAACCCUUCAGCCAAUUCCCACAUAAAACACUUUCACGCCGGAAGCUGCCGCGCGAUUUCAGAGCUCAGCCGACUGCAAUGGCGCCAUCUUGCUACAAGAUCCAACUGCGUCUCUUCUCUUCUGUACAUGACGCAUGAGAAAUACCUAUUUUUGACCCAAGUACAGUGGCUGGAAGCUAUUACAGUGGCCGGUGGAGAAACCUAAUUUUGCUCGAUUGUUCAGGUAUUUGAUUAAUAUUUGAUGGUAAUAAAUAAGACCGUGACCCAUAUUUGCGGUUGCAGAUUAAUUUCCUUCUCAGUUCACUAUCAGAAUUUUUGAAAUCCGAAUUUCUUACUUUUUAAUUGUGUCGUGUGCAUGUGCUGAAUUGGGUGAAGAAGGCUGGCAUUCGGAAAAUACUCCAGAGGUGGACGAACAGGACCCAACAAUUUCCAGCCGAGAGAUGACCGAAAAAGGUAUUGGUUCAAAUUGCCAUUCAGAAUUAGGGGAUUUGUUAUGUGAUUUUCUCUGUAUCUUUACAAUUUGUUAUGAGAUGAUGUGAUUUUUUUAGAACCAAUUUCUGUAGGAUGUGCUAAAAAAUUGCUUGACUUGGUAGAAUGCACAAUCAUCAUAUUACACACGCAGUGAAUUUCCAUUGUAAUUGAUCAAACGAUUAUUUGCAUUGUAGUCCAACGUGGUGAUCUGAGUAGUUUCUAUUUGAAUUAUAGUUACAUAAUUUCGUUGACGCAUUAUUGUAAUUUGUUUGAUGAAGGGAAAGAAAUUUGGGAACAUGUGGAUGAAAUUAUACCAGUGGAGUCCGAAAAUGAGGAUGUUCUGGAUAUUAUGAACGUAGCGGGUGAUGAUACGUUAGUUGGAGAUGGUGUGAUUGUGCCGGAGCCGGGUAUGAAAUUUAAAGAUGAAAAUGAAAUAUUCGAUUUGUACAAAAAAUAUGCAUACGAAAUUGGUUUCCCGGUUAGGAAAAGAAAUUCGGUAAAGGAUGAGGACGGAGUAUUGCGAAAUAUUAUAUUUGUUUGUAGCCGUGAAGGGAAAAGAAUACAAAAUAGAAGCGGUAGUUUGAAACCGUAAGCAACCAUGCAGAGUGGAUGUAAAGCCAGGAUUUGCGCAUCCAAAGAUCUUUGUGGAAUAUGGAGGAUUAACAAGGUACAUCUAGACCAUAAUCAUAAGACAAGCCCUUCGAAGUCUAGGCUAUAUCGAUGCAACUGAGAGUUGAGUGCACAUGUUAAACGAAGACUCGAAGUGAAUGACAUGGCAGGAAUUCCAUUACACAAGAGUUUCAACUCUGCAGUUGUUGAAGCGGGUGGGUAUGAGAAUUUGAGUUGCAUCGAGAAGGACUGUCGUAACUAUGUUGAAAAAGUUAGGCGUUUAAGACUUGAAAAAGGGGACGCAUCAGCACUACAGUCAUACUUCUGCAAAAUGCAGGCAUAGUGUUCGGGCUUUUACUUUAGUAUAGAUCUGGAUGACGAUUUACGUCUAAAGAAUGUUUUUUGGGCAGACUAUAGAAGUAGGCAAGCAUUUAAGGAGUUUGGUGAUGUUAUCACAUUUGACACCACAUACCUCACUAAUAAGUACGAUAUGCCAUUUGCUCCUUUUGUUGGAGUGAACCACCAUGGGCAGUCGACACUCCUUGGAUGUGGUCUGGUAUCGAAUGAGGAUACGGAGACAUUUGUUUGGCUCUUUCGAACCUGGCUGCAAUGCAUGCAUGGACAAGCUCCGCAUGGGAUAGUUACGGAUCAGGAUAGGGCUAUGCAAAAUGCAAUACAGAUUGUGUUUCCUAAUACAAAGCAUAGAUGGUGUUUGUGGCACAUAUUGAAGAAGUUGCCUGAGAAAUUCGGAUACCAUGUGGAUAAAGGGUCUAUAUUCAGUACUAUACACAAUUUGGUUUAUGAUUGUCAGUUUGUAGAAGAAUUCGAAAAUGGCUGGAGAGUGAUGGUGGAAAGGUUUCACUUGUAUGAUAAUGAGUGGUUGGCGGGUUUGUACGAGAACAGAGAACGUUGGGUACCUUGCUAUCUAAAAACCACAUUUUGGGCAGGGAUGUCAACUACUCAACGCAGUGAGAGUAUGCAUGCAUUCUUCGACGGUUAUAUACAUUCGAAGACGACAUUAAAGCAAUUUGUUGAACAAUAUGAACAAGCAUUGAGAAAUAAGGUUGAGAAAGAGUUUCAAGCAGACUUCAAGUCCUUCUCGCAAAUGGUACCGUGCGCAUCGAGAUAUGAAAUUGAGAAGCAAUUUCAAGCAGUUUACACAAUUUCAAAAUUUAAGGAAGUUCAAGAGGAGUUCACAGGUAAAAUGUACUGCGACCUUGUUUCUGUCUCCGAGGGAUUAUCGGGGGCAACGUACGAGGUACGGGAGGAUGUAAUACAUGAGGAGCAUUCGAAGAAAAAAAGCUUUUUCGUCUCAGUUGAAAGAGACAAAUGUGAAAUCACUUGUAGUUGCCACAAUUUUGAGUUUCGCGGGAUUAUUUGCAGACAUAUGAUCGUAGUACUGGCCCGUAAUGACGUGAAAUCUAUACCCGAAAAAUAUAUACUACGGAGAUGGCGACGAGAUGUCAGUAGGGCCCACACAAGGGUACCAGUGAACUAUGAUGGUUUGAUUAGUACGCCAGGGCAAUUAAAGUACAACAAGAUGUGUCAACGCUUUGCGACAUUGGCAGAUCUGACAGCAGAAGAUGACGCGAAAUCUGAUGCAAUAAUUGAUUGGAUUGACAGUCAAUGUGAAGAGUUGAUGUCAACAAAUCCUGGUAAUAGUAACAUCCUCUCCCCACAGACGACACAGACAUCAUUCCACUGUGAAGCACCACUGGAUACUGGAAGUGGUGACAUAAGGGAUCCAGAAUGUGUGAAAAGAAAAGGUGCCCCAAAGAAACUUCGGAAGAAGAGCCCAUUAGAAACCAUGUCGAGAAAAUUCAAGGUAAUAAUGAAAU
rnacentral:lncRNA from 1 species